rnacentral:tRNA from 1 species
GGUAUCGUAGUGUGGUUGGUUAACCCGUCGGGGUACAUCGCUGAAGUCGAUGGUUCGAAUCCAGCCGGUACAU